rnacentral:tRNA from 1 species
GACCGCGUAGCUCAGUUGGCAGAGCAUUGGGCUAGUAUUCCAAAGGUUGUAGGUUCGAUUCCCACCGUUGCUA